UACGGAGGGGGCUAGCGUUGUUCGGAAUUACUGGGCGUAAAGCGCACGUAGGCGGCUUUGUAAGUUAGAGGUGAAAGCCCGGGGCUCAACUCCGGAAUUGCCUUUAAGACUGCAUCGCUAGAAUUGUGGAGAGGUAAGUGGAAUUCCGAGUGUAGAGGUGAAAUUCGUAGAUAUUCGCAAGAACACCAGUGGCGAAGGCGGCUCACUGGGCCGAUACUGACGCUGAGGAGCGAAAGCGUGGGGAGCGAACAGG
rnacentral:rRNA from 1 species